AUACGUUCCCGGGCCUUGUACACACCGCCCGUCACGCCAUGGGAGUGGGUUUCACCUGAAGUCGCCGGUAGCCACAGGCAGGCGCCGAGGGUGGGGCUCAUGACUGGGGCGAAGUCGUAACAAGGUAGGUGUACCGGAAGGUGCGCCUGGAUCACCUCCUUUCUAAGGAG
rnacentral:rRNA from 1 species